GGCAGGCUUAACACAUGCAAGUCGAGGGGCAGCGGGGAGGAAGCUUGCUUUCUCCGCCGGCGACCGGCGCACGGGUGAGUAACACGUAUGCAACCUGCCCCUGUCAGGGGGACAACCCGCCGAAAGGCGGGCUAAACCCGCGUACAUGCCACCGGGGCAUCCCGGAGGCAGGAAAGGCUUCGGCCGGACAGGGAUGGGCAUGCGGCGCAUUAGGCAGUAGGCGGGGUAACGGCCCACCUAACCGACGAUGCGUAGGGGUUCUGAGAGGAAGGUCCCCCACACUGGUACUGAGACACGGACCAGACUCCUACGGGAGGCAGCAGUGAGGAAUAUUGGUCAAUGGGCGGGAGCCUGAACCAGCCAAGUCGCGUGAGGGAUGACGGCCCUAUGGGUUGUAAACCUCUUUUGCCGGGGAGCAAAGUGCCGCACGUGUGCGGUUUGGAGAGUACCCGGAGAAAAAGCAUCGGCUAACUCCGUGCCAGCAGCCGCGGUAAUACGGAGGAUGCGAGCGUUAUCCGGAUUUAUUGGGUUUAAAGGGUGCGUAGGCGGACGCUUAAGUCAGCGGUAAAAUUGCGGGGCUCAACCUCGUCGAGCCGUUGAAACUGGGUGCCUUGAGUGGGCGAGAAGUACGCGGAAUGCGUGGUGUAGCGGUGAAAUGCAUAGAUAUCACGCAGAACUCCGAUUGCGAAGGCAGCGUACCGGCGCCCAACUGACGCUGAAGCACGAAGGCGUGGGUAUCGAACAGGAUUAGAUACCCUGGUAGUCCACGCAGUAAACGAUGAAUGCUAGUUGUCCGGGGCGAUUGAGUUCUGGGUGACACAGCGAAAGCGUUAAGCAUUCCACCUGGGGAGUACGCCGGCAACGGUGAAACUCAAAGGAAUUGACGGGGGCCCGCACAAGCGGAGGAACAUGUGGUUUAAUUCGAUGAUACGCGAGGAACCUUACCCGGGCUCAAACGCAGGAGGGAUGUUUUUGAAAGGAGGCAGCCAGCAAUGGUCUCCUGCGAGGUGCUGCAUGGUUGUCGUCAGCUCGUGCCGUGAGGUGUCGGCUUAAGUGCCAUAACGAGCGCAACCCCUACCUACAGUUGCCAUCGCGUGAUGGCGGGCACUCUGUGGGGACUGCCUGCGCAAGCAGUGAGGAAGGCGGGGAUGACGUCAAAUCAGCACGGCCCUUACGUCCGGGGCGACACACGUGUUACAAUGGCAGGUACAGCGGGAAGCCACCCGGCGACGGGGCGCGGAACCCGAAAACCUGUCUCAGUUCGGAUUGGAGUCUGCAACCCGACUCCAUGAAGCUGGAUUCGCUAGUAAUCGCGCAUCAGCCACGGCGCGGUGAAUACGUUCCCGGGCCUU
rnacentral:rRNA from 1 species